UAAGCAACAUGGGCACCUCAUGAAGCACCAUGCUUUCAACACUGAUUUAGCUGUGUCUCUCUUACCUGUGAUUGCUGAGACUCCGAAGUUGAGGUCAUACAGCCACAGGCACGAUUUAAAACAGAUCGGUGGUGAUUUAAGAUCAGAACUGGGGCAAAAAGUCUGGACCGACUGAUAAGGAAGACAGAGAGACAGCACCUCAACAGAAUCGUGAUGCCACACUCCACCGUCAGCCUCAGCCAAUCCCAGCUCAUGGGGACCUCUGUGCCAGUGGACUAAGGGAGGUCUCUGGACACAAGCCUAUAACCUUCCUCUGUGGUUAGUCUCUCACAGCAGUGCCACUGUCUUCACCAGAGCUCGGCUAAUUUUUGUUCUCUUUCAAGAGGACUCAUAUUUCAAUUCCUUUCUGAAACCUUCCCCACACAUCCCUCUCCUGUUCUGAAUAAGCAGAUAUCAUUCCCUCUAUAAUACUUCUUUUCUUCAUAUAUUUAUCAGUACAUGACAUAUAUGGAUUUGGUGGCAAAUGCUGUGGGAUUUGUUAGAUAAUCUUUGCCACCUGUGACUUUAAUUGAGCUAUUUGUUAGUUGAUGAUUCAAGCACAUUGGCACCUUAAGAGGAACAUUCGGAAAAUAGAAAGACUUUAGGUCCAAAAGAGUGAAUUACUAAAGAAGCCUUUUAAGCAAGAGAAUGACAUAAUAGUGGUUUUGAGAAGGUGUGAGGUGAUGGGAGAGGAAAAAAGGGGAAGGGGAAGCUGCAGUAAUUCAUCCUGCCAAGAAGAUUCAGGGAUUGUUUGAAAUGAGGUCAGCAAAGGAGUGUAUUGAACACCGAUUCCAAUCCCUGGGCCAUCUAAACAAGGCCUUGAAGAAGAGAAAAGCCUCCAGGCAUCUCCAAGACAUUCCUCCCUAUGCUGGACCUCCUCUCUGUGGG